rnacentral:rRNA from 1 species
AACGUAGGAGGCGAGCGUUAUCCGGAAUCACUGGGCGUAAAGGGCGUCUAGGCGGAUGGGGAAGCGAGGUGUGAAAGCUCCCGGCUCAACUGGGAGAGUGCGCUUCGAACUCCCCGUCUAGAGGGCGGGCGAAGGGGGUGGAAUUCCCGGUGGAGUGGUGAAAUGCGUAGAUAUCGGGAGGAACACCAGUGGCGCAAGCGGCCCCCUAGCCUGUUUCUGACGCUGAAGCGCGAGAGCGUGGGGAGCAAACGGG